rnacentral:rRNA from 1 species
GACGAACGCUGGCGGCGUGCUUAACACAUGCAAGUCGAACGGAAAGGCCCUGCUUUUGUGGGGUGCUCGAGUGGCGAACGGGUGAGUAACACGUGAGUAACCUGCCCUUGACUUUGGGAUAACUUCAGGAAACUGGGGCUAAUACCGGAUAGGAGCUCCUGCUGCAUGGUGGGGGUUGGAAAGUUUCGGCGGUUGGGGAUGGACUCGCGGCUUAUCAGCUUGUUGGUGGGGUAGUGGCUUACCAAGGCUUUGACGGGUAGCCGGCCUGAGAGGGUGACCGGCCCCCUUGGGGCCGGGGUUCCGCCCCGACUCCUUCGGGAGGCCGGCGUGGGGAAUAUUGCCCCAUGGGCGGAAGCCCGGUGCCGGAACGCCGCCUGGGGGAUGAAGGCCCUCGGGUUGUAAACCGCCUUUGCCUGUGACGGAGGGUGAGUGGCCGUUAUGGGUAAAGGAGGCCCCGCUUACCUCGUU